AUGAGCAAGUGCCACCAAAGCCAAGCUGCAGAGCUACCUGGUAUCUCCAGGCUGGGGAGCUGGUGACCAGCAGACAUGUCUCAAUUUGCCCAGGUCCUGGCUGAAAUAGGUGACUUUGGUCGCUUCCAGAUACAGCUAAUGAUCCUGCUGAGUAUCCCCAACUUCCUAUAUGCCUUCCACUUCUUUGCCCAAGUCUUCAUGGUCCUGGACGAGCCCCACCACUGCUCAGUGGCCUGGGUCAAGAACCACACUCUUAACCUGAGUGCUGCUGACCAGCUGGCGCUGGGGGUGCCUCUGGAUGCUGCGGGCAGCCCCGAGCCCUGCCUCAUGUUCCGGCCACCCCCCGAUGGUGCCAGCCUGGAGGACAUCCUCAGCCACCGCUUCAACCAGACGCAGCCUUGCGAUAUGGGCUGGGACUAUCCUGAGAACAGGCCCCCGUCCCUAACGAAAGAG